CAAGGUUAAAGCAAUAACGUAACAUUUCCCUAUCUCUAGAAACUCAAGGGGAAGCAGAAGGCAAAGAGCCGAACCCAGGGCAGUAGUGCGGAAGGACCCCUUUGCAUUCCACCUUGCCGGCACUUGGUUCCCGUGUCCUGGGAGGAACCUCUGGAGUCCGACCACAGGGCAGCUGCGCGGUGCGGGUGCAGGGACCCCUGACAUCAGCAGCAGGAGGGACUACUGGCGUAAAGGUUCGCCAUGCAGCGGAGGAAGACCAUGGAUG
ensembl:lncRNA